CAAGAAGUCCUGGGUCCGUUUGUCUCAGUCCAGGGAAGAGAACAGCAAUUAUCAGGAAAGACUGUUCCAGAGAGCCGUAGGGCAUUCCAGAAGGGCCGCCCUACUUCUGAAUGGUCUUCCAGAAGAGGAAACCAGUCUCCAUCAGCAACCCCCCAGGCCCCACCCCCCCCAGCCAAUGGGCUACAACAGGAGCUGCAGCAAACACUUAGGGAGCUUCUGUGCCAGGCACUCUGUGUAACCUGCAGCAGAGUGGGGCCUGCCACUGAUCCCCGCUCCACUGCCCAGCUGUGCAACCUUAGGCACCUACUGCCUCUCUGAACCAAAGUCUUCUCAUCUGCAAAAUGAGAGAACGCCGUCUACUUCGUGGGAUUGCUGUGGGAGUUCACUGAGAUAACGCUUAGCAUCCUGGGGGGUGUAAACGGCGGAGGGCAGAGCAACAGCCCUAAUGACAGAGGACGAAAACAAGGCCCCUUGAAGGUCCGGGGAGGCGGCCGGCAAGCACCCGAGGAGGGGCCCUCCGCCCUCAAACCCUCCGGAG